GUCCACGCCCUAAACCGAUGUCUACUAGUUGUCGGGACUUAAUUGUCUUGGUAACGCAGCUAACGCGUGAAGUAGACCGCCUGGGGAGUACGGUCGCAAGAUUAAAACUCAAAGGAAUUGACGGGGACCCGCACAAGCGGUGGAUGAUGUGGAUUAAUUCGAUGCAACGCGAAAACCCUUACCUACCCUUGACAUGGUUGGAAUCCCGAAGAGAUUUGGGAGUGCUCGCAAAGAGAACCAAUACACAGGUGCUGCAUGGCUGUCGU
rnacentral:rRNA from 1 species